GGGAACUCUCCUUCCCCACGUGAGAAGCACCCCGAGUGACAUGCUGUAACCAGUCCAACCGGUCUGUGAGAGGGACCUUGGCAGACAGAAGGGAGAGCUGCAGCCUAAUCAGCCAUCCUGGAAAAAGCUCUGCACAUGCGCAGGUUGGG